UACGAAGGGUGCAAGCGUUACUCGGAAUUACUGGGCGUAAAGCGUGCGUAGGUGGUUUGUUAAGUCUGAUGUGAAAGCCCUGGGCUCAACCUGGGAACUGCAUUGGAAACUGGCUUACUAGAGUGCGGUAGAGGGGUGUGGAAUUCCCGGUGUAGCAGUGAAAUGCGUAGAUAUCGGGAGGAACAUCUGUGGCGAAGGCGACACCCUGGACCAGCACUGACACUGAUGAGCGAAAGCCAGGGGAGCAAACGGG
rnacentral:rRNA from 1 species